GAUCCUGGCUCAAGAUGAACGCUGGCGGCGUGCUUAACACAUGCAAGUCGAACGGGAAACAUUUCAUUGAGGCUUCGGCGGAUUUGGUCUGUUUCUAGUGGCGGACGGGUGAGUAACGCGUGGGUAACCUGCCUUAUACUGGGGGAUAACAGCCAGAAAUGGCUGCUAAUACCGCAUAAGCGCACGGGGCCGCAUGGUCCUGUGUGAAAAACUCCGGUGGUAUAAGAUGGACCCGCGUUGGAUUAG
rnacentral:rRNA from 1 species